UAUCUCAGCAGCUGCAUUGGUCAAUCCAGGUGAAUGACACGUCUAUAGAACCGUCUGAGCCAAUAGAAUCGACGGACAGCAGUCGCUACCUUUGAGGGGGCGAACCCACUGUGACGUCUUUUUUCCCCUACGCCAUUUGUCAUGCGACUUCCACCUGUUUGGUCGAAAGUAGGACGGACCAGGCGGAUUAACAUCUUGAAAUGACGGAAUCAGAUUCAUGGACCAAAACACAAACUUUUACUGCAAAUCCUUCGACGGUGUACGUGGUUGAUGUUGGGGUGUGGCCGAGUUCCUCACCGUUCUGUGAAUAUGCUGUAUGACUAUAUUGCUUCAUGUGUGAGAAAAAUGAUGAGUGAUUUGGUCCAAUUGUGUCGGAACCAAGGCCCCCACCAGGUUUCUAUGGAGAAGGUCAGAAAACUAAAACUAUUCCUUAUCAAAUAAGAAAUGUGACGGCACAGCUAGUGAGUGGAUUAAUCUGACACUACUGCCCUCGGACGGUAAGUUUUAGGUUUUAUGCUUCGACAGGUAAGAAGAAUCACCCCGAUCCCAGUUUGUUGUGCAGCACUACAACAUGUGUGCACCUCGUUGUAUAAAGCCUUCUGUGGGUCCAGAAGAAGUAGUGUAAAGUCGGACAAAUCGCCCCCGGUGAAGUUCCUCGAGUUGGGUUUAAAGAAUGUAAGUUUUGGGUGGAAAAACAAAACAAAAAAGCGUGGAUGUGGAGUUAAAAAGAAGUGAGCUCACCAAACUGCUGCAGCCCGCUUCCUCAUCUCCGCCUGAGGCUACGAGAGCUGUUACCAGCACAACGCACCCAAAUCUCCAACCAAACCGUCAGGGGUUGAGCUGCAUUGUGGGUGGGUGAAAGGGUGGAGUGUUAGCGAGAGUCCGGGAGCCGCACACUGUUUAAUCCGUACCUGACCGGCCGCAGGCUGAUGAUGAACAAAAGCGGCAGGUUUCCACUUCCUGGUGGACUACAGGUUCAUCCUCACUAUCAGCACAACUAAUGUGAAAAAGAGAAGAGGAGCUUCAUCCAAAAUAGCUCAAUUACACAGAAUAUUGACUCGUUAACGUGGUGUGCAGACGGCGACAGAAGCCGGCCGGGCAGAGUCAGGGAAGAUGACAUUCUUUUCUUCAGUGCACCUUAAUUUCCUGCCAAAACCUUAUUAUUGGACACCAACUAUUUAAAGCAGAAUACUUGAAAUAAAAAAACCUGAUCCGAGUGCAGAGCUGCUGGUCUUAAAACCCAGCUGGAUGACUGCAGGGCCUGCACCCCAGACACCACCACCAUGAAUCCACCAAAAACACCCUUGGAAAAAUUACAAGAAUCUAAGGAAAAGAAAUGCCACAUUCACUCUUCUAUUCAGGGUUCCAACACAUUUUCCAUUUCAAAUUUCCAGGCUUUUCUCUGUGGAUUUUUCAGACCAUAUUUGAGAUCCGAGUACUAAUACCUGGAUGUUUAUUAAGUAAAUAUUAUCAUAUAAAUGAAUGUUAUAAGCUAUUUUAUAUAAUAUUACCAUAUAAGUAAAUAUUAUUAUGUAAAUAAAUCAUUUAAAUCCAACUGUUAACAUGUUACAUACUGUGUAUGUUAUCAUGUUGCACUUCAUCUACAGAAAGUCGAUUGUGAUGUGAAAUAUUGAUACUUUUCGAAUUCCGCUGUUACCUGUUCUAGGACUGAUUCUCAUAUUAAAAGAUUGAUAUUUUAACUCAGUAAUUUUGGGUAAAUGUGUAGUGUACCUUCAACGGGGGAAAUAGUACUAAGUAACUACUGUAGGUUGAUAGGAACUAAUUACAGUAUCCCUCCGCCUACAUUUAUCACUUUUCAGUGAUAAACCUCGCCACAGCUCUGAUUCACUAGACCAGAGAGAUUCUGUUUAGACUUCAGUCUGGAAACACAAAUAUCUUUACCAUACUCUCACUUCUUUUUUCCAUACUUAUCCAGACCUGUGAAUUACUGAAAACAAAUUCCAUAUUGCGUAGGGAACCCUGUACUAUUGAAGAUCACCAUUCUAUAGUCCAAUGGUCACCAAUCAAAUGUUAAAAGGGAACCUUAUCGUGAAGACGUAUCUAUGCUCAGUAGAUUAUGUCAACUGAUAUGUCUCAAUCAGACUACGAAAUAUCAACGUUGCUAUCGGUUGGGCUAAGGAAAGUCGGUGAGGAACUCUGUGAUGAGAGUCGUAACUGUCAUGAACGUGGACUUUGAAAAGACUCUUGUGGACCCUUUUCUUUCUGUGUGGACUUUUAUUGUUUAUGAUUUCAUUGAUUACCCUUCAAUUGUUUGUGUGUGUGUGUUUCGGUUUUUGUGCAGUUACUUUCUUGUGUUUUGUUCAUCUUGAGCAUAGUAUUUCCUGUUUUGCGUCCGCUUCCUGUUCUCCCGUGUCUUAUGUGGUCCAUUUACCUUUUCUCGUGUUUCCCGCUGGUUCUGUUCCUAAUGCGUUUCACCCGUGUGUCUAAUGAUCUCUGCCCUCUUGUCUAUAAAGUCUCUGUGCUUCCCUUUUUUCCUCGUCAGGUGGUCUGUUCUAUUCCUUGUUCCAUUGUUCUACUGACCCGACUUUCUCCGUUUCUACCAGCAAAGCCUGUAAGCUUGCCUUUUUUAUUAGACUUACCUUGUUCCGCCCUCUGCGCUUGGAUCCUGCUCCAUGAUCCGUGACGUGUAAACGUCUUCAAGAAUCUGCAACCACGUCCAGAUAGCUCCCGGUCCAGCGCCGUGGGAUCACUAUGAUCUGGAUGAAUGAGAAUCUCCACUGACAAACAUGUCAGAAACGUUCACGUUCUCUCUGUCCGUCGUUGCACUUCACAUCUCGAACUCUCUUGAUGUGAACCAUUCACAGAUUCAGCAAAAAAGACCACAAGAAGAUUGACGGACUCCUCGGAACCGUUUGGGUUUAUCUCGACUGACACGCUAACAGCCUCAGAAGUGGGAGCCGUCUUUUUCAAGAUAAGAGACGGCAAAGCUCCUUUUGGUUUUCUGGAAAACGUGUGAAGGAUAUACAAUUAACUUUUAUCUGGGAUGGGCCGGUGAGAAGCGGCGACAGAGUGUCUCGUGGAUUCUCUUUCCAGGGGAGUGAAACGUUGUGUUAAUGUGCCAUAUUCCUUUAAUUUCCCUGGGUAUGAAAGGAAACCAGAUCCUUGAAUUGAGUUUUGACUGCAGACACGCACAACUCAAAGUCCCACUUACUUUUUUUUUAAAUUUUCCAGCUGGGAUAAUUGACUGCAGAACACGUGAGAAGAAGAAGAAGAAGAACCUGUGUGGAGAUUCAGAGGAGUUUGAAGGAAUGGAUGGAGAGCCUGGGAUGAAACGGCGGCUUCAGGGACUCACCCGCCAUCUGUGCUGUUUAACGUGACGACUGUGCUGUGACUGAGAUUCACUGCCAUAAACUGCUGCAGGAGUUAUUCACAGAAUCACCUGGAGCAGAAAAAGGACGGCGAGCUGAAGGAAAGAAGUCGGAAGAAAGAAGCAGUGAUUGAACCAUCGCGGCAGGGAAGGACAGCAAAGACUCCUCCUGCUGAGACUCUGCCCACAGAAACCCAGACAAAGAGGUCUGAUUUGGGAAAAAGGAGGCAAUUUAUUAAAGCCCCAAAGACUUUCAAAAACAAAAGAACUCAUGCAAAUCAGCACUUUCUACCUGCUGCCAGACGCCGCCGAUGUUUCCCUCACAGCCAGCAGUUUAUCUUCACGGACUGACUUCUUCCGGUCUUGCUCGAAACACCUGGCUGUACCAUUAACUGCCCGACUCUUGAGGCGUGCAUCCCGCUGAGGAGCCCCGAGUGGUGCUGUGAAGCGUGAUAUUAGACCCCGGGCUUCGCAACGGGGAAGCUUCAGACUCCCGACAACCUCUGAGCGUCUCCGAUCCAUCACCUGUGACUGACAGACGCUCUCAUCCGGAACAAAACUCUGCUGAAAAAAAAAAACAGAGAGAGAGAAUGAGAGAGAGAGCUGCCUCGACAGUGUGAAACAACGAGAAGCGGACUGAAACCGGCUGUUAGGACAGAACGACUACAGAUCCACAGAAUACUGAACGACAUGACGGCUGUACUGAAAGUGCAGGUUCACAACGAGAAAGUGAGUAAAGAUAUUAAAUGGAAGGUCAAGAGCUCAAUCCCCUUCACAGCUCUCGAAACCAAUCAAAAUCCAUCGAUCUACUCUACUGCUCUACUGCUUCAAACCUAUAAAAGGAAAACCAUCCACAAAUACACUGGGACAAUUAUUAAUUUCUCAUUACCUGCUUCACACUUCUCGGUAAUAACGCCAUUUCCUGCUCUUCCCUAACUGUAAAUGCGUUUAGCGCUGCCGCAGGCUUCGCUUUCCAUUUAGAUUAAGAUUCUGCUUCACAAGUGAAACUUCCUCCUCCGUCUCUGCUCAUCUCACUGUGUCCACAACUUCCACCUCCUGUCUGUCUCUCUCUCCUCUUCCUCCUCUUCUUUCCUGUCUGUGGGUGUCAGUCCACCAAUGUCCUGCUGCGAGCGGCGGCAGCUCGGAUGUGAGCAAACCAACUUCUCCUCUCUGGUAAACAUCCAUUACGGAGCACACAGAGAAGCAGAGGUGGGGGUGGAGACAGCUGAUGCGUUUCAGGUGUCGACGGCGACAAAACAAACCCUUGUGAAAAACGCUUUGACCUCAAUUUCACAACAGGAAUACAGACUGAAGUGAACCGACACUGUCCUGUUGACAUUUGGUCGUUGAGAAUCUUUGUGCACGGCGACGAGAAACGAAUUAAGGUGAUGCUGAAGUAAACUCUGGCCUCUUAUGAACUCUGAAGCCUACGAACUGAUAAUUACUGUGCCAGGUUGAGUUCAAUGGAGCAUGAAUUGGUUUUUUUUUAAAGCUUUAAUUUCAUCAUUAUUUCAUUAUUUAAUUAUCACAUUAAACUCUAAGGUUGUUUCCAUCUUGACCUGGAAGUUGGUUGAUCCUACGAUGUCGGCAGAUCUGGACCGGACCGGACUCCCGUCACAUUGCGUUGUCCGGGUCAUUAUCUCACAUGUGACACCGUCACAUCGUCUCGUCUGGAAUAUGAAUGAGAUCACAGCGAAACCGGGGCCCUGUACCUGAAAGAAUUACCAACGCCUCGACUCCCGUCAGUGUCCUCGCUAACGCACGCGACAAUUAUCUCGUCUGUGGCCGCUCUGCUCCCUCACGUCGUCGGGCUGGCGAUCUACUUCCUUUGAGAGUCCUGCUGUAAAAUCCGACAUAUCAGCCGGCGUGUCGCAGGUUUAUAGAGGAGAUAUAUACAGUACAUAUAUAUAUAUAUAUAUAUAUAUAUAUAUAUAUAUAUAUAUAUAGCAAUAUCAAUGUGGGCACAAAGCCCAGACCUGCUAUUGAUGUGUAGAGCUUUUAGUGACGCAGCUAAUAAAAGAUUAAUGAUUUGUGUGUGUGUGUGUGUGUGUGUGUGUGUGUGUGUGUGUGUGUGUGUGUGUGUGUGUGUGUGUGUGUGUGUGUGUGUGUGUGCGUGUGCGCGUGUGUGCGCGUGUGUGUGUGUGUGUUUGUUUUUAAUGCUCAUUCUGCAGGGAAUCCUUUUCCCAGAUAUCAGGGUUCAGGUCCUGGCAAUUUGUCAUCACGUCCUGUUUAAUGACCUUUGCUACAAUAAAAUAGGUAACAGGCUUUUUUUUUUCUCUCUCCAAACAUCCUCAUUAGCCUCGACCGGGCCCCGAUCAUCAAGUUUCAGACCAGAGGGCACAAAUAUUUCAUGGGCCCCAGGCCAAAUUUCUCUUUUCAUUUUAUCCCGUCUUCUUAUUCUUAAUAAAUCAGAUCUAGCGUACGGGGCAUUUACAGAAUAGCUCUGAUUCGUUAUGGAGAAGCACUGUACGCCAUUGGAAGAUGAAAGGUAACCGCUAAAAUAUACAACUUGAAUAAAAGCCUAAGAGCUACAGUGUGUUAUAUUGAGAGGAACUUAUUCAUAGAUAUUGAAUGUACUGUCCAUAACUGUGUUCAUUAUGUAUAAUCAUCUCCAUGUUUGCUACGUCGUGUUGAAUAC